ensembl:snRNA U1 U1 spliceosomal RNA
AUACUUACCUUGUAAGGGAGAUACCAUGGUUGCAAAGGUGGUUUUCACAAAGUGAGGCUUAUCCUCUGCACUCCAGAUGUGCUGGUCUCUGUGAUUUCUCCAAAUGUGGAAAACUUUACUGAAUAAUUCGUUGUAGUAGGGGAAUUGUGUUUGCGCUUGUGCUCUCC